rnacentral:rRNA from 1 species
GACGAACGCUGGCGGCGUGCCUAACACAUGCAAGUCGAACGGGACUUAAUGGAAAGCGGCUUCGGCCAAAUGGAAGUUAAGUUUAGUGGCGAACGGGUGAGUAACGCGUGAGAAACCUGCCUUUCAGUGGGGGACAACAGUUGGAAACGACUGCUAAUACCGCAUAAUGUAUUUUAGGGGCAUCCCCUUUAAUACCAAAGAUUUAUUGCUGAAAGAUGGUCUCGCGUCUGAUUAGCUAGAUGGCGGGGUAACGGCCCACCAUGGCGACGAUCAGUAGCCGGUCUGAGAGGAUGAACGGCCACAUUGGGACUGAGAUACGGCCCAGACUCCUACGGGAGGCAGCAGUGGGGAAUAUUGGGCAAUGGGGGAAACCCUGACCCAGCAACGCCGCGUGAAGGAAGAAGGCUUUCGGGUGUAAACUUCUUUUACCAGGGACGAAGGACGUGACGGUACCUGGAGAAAAGCAACGGCUAACUACGUG